UGCAAAUGAUGUGAACGAAUAUUUGCUAUCUGAAGUACUGGUGCUGACACCAUUCCACCAAGAUCGCUGAUGCA
ensembl:snoRNA SNORD24 Small nucleolar RNA SNORD24